UACAGAGGUCUCAAGCGUUGUUCGGAUUCAUUGGGCGUAAAGGGUGUGUAGGAGGCCAGGUAAGUCAGGUGUGAAAUCUCAGAGCUUAACUCUGAAACUGCGCUUGAUACUGCUUGGCUCGAGGAUCGGAGGGGGUAACGGAAUUCAUGGUGUAGCAGUGAAAUGCGUAGAUAUCAUGAGGAACACCGGUGGCGAAGGCGGUUACCUGGAAGAUUCCUGACUCUGAAACACGAAAGCCAGGGGAGCAAACGGG
rnacentral:rRNA from 1 species